GCUUAGAGUUUGAUCCUGGCUCAGAUUGAACGCUGGCGGCAGGCCUAACACAUGCAAGUCGAACGGUAGCAGGAUGUGCUUGCACAUCGCUGNCGAGUGGCGGACGGGUGAGUAAUGCUUAGGGAUCUACCUCUGUGUGGGGGAUAACUAUUGGAAACGAUAGCUAAUACCGCAUAAUGUUUACGGACCAAAGGGGGCUUUUAGCUCCCGCGCAGAGCGGAACCUAAGUGAGAUUAGCUAGUUGGUGGGGUAAAGGCUCACCAAGGCGACGAUCUCUAGCUGUUCUGAGAGGAAGAUCAGCCACACUGGGACUGAGACACGGCCCAGACUCCUACGGGAGGCAGCAGUGGGGAAUAUUGCACAAUGGGGGAAAUCCCUGAUGCAGCCAUGCCGCGUGUGUGAAGAAGGCCUUCG
rnacentral:rRNA from 1 species